rnacentral:rRNA from 1 species
AUGUGAUCGUCUCUCGCAUAUCAAUAAGCGGAGGAAAAGAAACUAACAAGGAUUCCCCUAGUAACGGCGAGUGAAGCGGGAAGAGCUCAAAUUUGAAAUCUUAAAGGGUUUCCCUUUACGAAUUGUAGUUUAAAGAAGUGUUUUCUGUUGAGGUUUUGGUAAAAGUUCUUUGGAAUAGGACAUCAUAGAGGGUGAGAAUCCCGUAUUUGACCUUUACUUUCAACCUUGUGAUACACUUUCAAAGAGUCGGAUUGUUUGGGAAUGCAGUCCAAAAUGGGUGGUAAAUUUCAUCUAAAGCUAAAUAUUGGCGAGAGACCGAUAGCGAACAAGGUACCGUGAGGGAGAGAUGAAAAGAACUUUGAAAAGAGAGUUAAACAGUACGUGAAAUUGUCAAAAGGGAAGCGUUUGACACCAGUGUUGUUUUUCUGAAAAUCAAUUAAAGAACUGUUUAUGCUAAGUUGUUUAGACUUUAUCAGCUAUCUGCUUAGUUUUGAGCUUUUCUUUAAUGCACUUUUCAGUUAACAAGUCAACAUCAAUUUCUUUUGCUGUAAAAAAGCUUGAGGAAGGUGGCUUGAGAUUCGUCUUAAGUGUUUAUAGCCUCUUGCCUAUGCAGUCGGAGAGAUUGAGGUCUGCAGCGUAGAUCCUUCGGGGCUAAAUGCAUUUGUGCUAAGUUAUAGCAUUUUAUAGACAACUUGUUGACUAUGAUUUGUCUUGUAGCUUACUCGCUUAUGUUAUUUUACCUACGCUUAGGAUGUUGACACACGCGCGUGCUCG